AAAGCAGUCUUAGUUCGGAUUGCAGGUUGCAACUCGCCUGCAUGAAGCUGGAAUUGCUAGUAAUCGCGGAUCAGCAUGCCGCGGUGAAUACGUUCCCGGGCCUUGUACACACCGCCCGUCACACCAUGAGAGUCGAGAACACCCGAAGUCCGUGUUCUAACCGCAAGGAGG
rnacentral:rRNA from 1 species